GAUGAACGCUGGCGGCGUGCCUAAUACAUGCAAGUCGAGCGAACAGACGAGGAGCUUGCUCCUCUGACGUUAGCGGCGGACGGGUGAGUAACACGUGGAUAACCUACCUAUAAGACUGGGAUAACUUCGGGAAACCGGAGCUAAUACCGGAUAAUAUAUUGAACCGCAUGGUUCAAUAGUGAAAGACGGUUUUGCUGUCACUUAUAGAUGGAUCCGCGCCGCAUUAGCUAGUUGGUAAGGUAACGGCUUACCAAGGCAACGAUGCGUAGCCGACCUGAGAGGGUGAUCGGCCACACUGGAACUGAGACACGGUCCAGACUCCUACGGGAGGCAGCAGUAGGGAAUCUUCCGCAAAGGGCGAAAGCCUGACGGAGCAACGCCGCGUGAGUGAUGAAGGUCUUCGGAUCGUAAAACUCUGUUAUUAGGGAAGAACAAAUGUGUAAGUAACUGUGCACGUCUUGACGGUACCUAAUCAGAAAGCCACGGCUAACUACGUG
rnacentral:rRNA from 1 species